GAUGAACGCUGGCGGCGUGCCUAAUACAUGCAAGUCGAGCGAACGGACGAGAAGCUUGCUUCUCUGAUGUUAGCGGCGGACGGGUGAGUAACACGUGGAUAACCUACCUAUAAGACUGGGAUAACUUCGGGAAACCGUAGAUAAUACCGGAUAAUAUUUUGAACCGCAUGGUUCAAAAGUGAAAGACGGUCUUGCUGUCACUUAUAGAUGGAUCCGCGCUGCAUUAGCUAGUUGGUAAGGUAACGGCUUACCAAGGCAACGAUGCAUAGCCGACCUGAGAGGGUGAUCGGCCACACUGGAACUGGGACACGGUCCAGACUCCUACGGGAGGCAGCAGUAGGGAAUCUUCCGCAAUGGGCGAAAGCCUGACGGAGCAACGCCGCGUGAGUGAUGAAGGUCUUCGGAUCGUAAAACUCUGUUAUUAGGGAAGAACAUAUGUGUAAGUAACUGUGCACAUCUUGACGGUACCUAAUCAGAAAGCCACGGCUAACUACGUG
rnacentral:rRNA from 1 species